GUUAAAAGCGCCUGAGCCGUUCUGUCGGAAUGAAAUAUGCUGUAUGAUGACCGCAGAAUGGCUGACGAGGGUGGAAGUUUAUCGAGUUUUUCGGCGGAUGCUUCCCGGCUUCACAGAGAAGCUGCAUAUCGGCAUACAAAAUCUUCGGGCAACCGGAGAACAGAAGU
rnacentral:ncRNA from 1 species